rnacentral:rRNA from 1 species
GACGAACGCUGGCGGCGUGCCUAAUACAUGCAAGUAGAACGCACAGUUUAUACCGUAGCUUGCUACACCAUAGACUGUGAGUUGCGAACGGGUGAGUAACGCGUAGGUAACCUGCCUGGUAGCGGGGGAUAACUAUUGGAAACGAUAGCUAAUACCGCAUAAUAUUAAUUAUUGCAUGAUAAUUAAUUGAAAUGUGCAAUUGCACCACUACCAGAUGGACCUACGUUGUAUUAGCUAGUAGGUGAGGUAACGGCUCACCUAGGCGAAGAUACAUAGCCGACCUGAGAGGGGGAUCGGCCACACUGGGACUGAGACACGGCCCAGACCCCUACGGGAGGCAGCAGUAGGGAAACUUCGGCAAUGGACGAAAGUCUGAACGAGCAACGCCGCGUGAGUGAAGAAGGUUUUCGGGUCGUAAAGCUCUGUUGUAAGAGAAGAACGGGUGUGAGAGUGGAAAGUUCACACUGUGACGGUAUCUUACCAGAAAGGGACGGCUAACUACGUG